rnacentral:rRNA from 1 species
ACUCCUACGGGAGGCAGCAGUGGGGAAUAUUGGACAAUGGGCGAAAGCCUGAUCCAGCAAUGCCGCGUGAGUGAUGAAGGCCUUAGGGUUGUAAAGCUCUUUUACCCGGGAUGAUAAUGACAGUACCGGGAGAAUAAGCUCCGGCUAACUCCGUGCCAGCAGCCGCGGUAAUACGGAGGGUGCAAGCGU